GCGGGCGUAGCUCAGUCGGUAGAGCGUCAGCUUCCCAAGCUGAAGGUCGCCGGUUCGAGACCGGUCGCCCGCU
rnacentral:tRNA from 1 species